rnacentral:rRNA from 1 species
GAGUUUGAUCAUGGCUCAGAUUGAACGCUGGCGGCAUGCCUUACACAUGCAAGUCGAACGGCAGCACGGGAGCUUGCUCCUGGUGGCGAGUGGCGAACGGGUGAGUAAUGCAUCGGAACGUAUCCUGGAGUGGGGGAUAACGUAGCGAAAGUUACGCUAAUACCGCAUAUUCUGUGAGCAGGAAAGCGGGGGACCUUCGGGCCUCGCGCUCUUGGAGCGGCCGAUGUCGGAUUAGCUAGUUGGUGAGGUAAAGGCUCACCAAGGCGACGAUCCGUAGCAGGUCUGAGAGGAUGAUCUGCCACACUGGAACUGAGACACGGUCCAGACUCCUACGGGAGGCAGCAGUGGGAAUUUUGGACAAUGGGGGCGAACCCUGAUCCAGCCAUGCCGCGUGAGUGAAGAAGGCCUCGG